rnacentral:rRNA from 1 species
UAAUUGAAGAGUUUGAUCAUGGCUCAGAUUGAACGCUGGCGGCAGGCCUAACACAUGCAAGUCGAACGGUAACAGGAAGCAGCUUGCUGCUUUGUUGACGAGUGGCGGACGGGUGAGUAAUGUCUGGG